rnacentral:rRNA from 1 species
UACAGAGGGUGCAAGCGUUAUUCGGAGUUACUGGGCGUAAAGAGCGCGUAGGUGGUUUGGCAAGUUUGAUGUGAAAGCCCUGGACUCAAUCCAGGAAGUGCAUCGAAUACUGCUAGACUAGAGUAUAGGAGAGGUAAGCGGAAUUCCUGGUGUAGAGGUGAAAUUCGUAGAUAUCAGGAGGAACAACAGUGGCGAAGGCGGCUUACUGGACUAUUACUGACACUGAGGCGCGAAAGCGUGGGGAGCAAACAGG